CCUACGGGGGGCAGCAGUGGGGAAUUUUGGACAAUGGACGAAAGUCUGAUCCAGCAAUGCCGCGUGCAGGACGAAGGCCUUCGGGUUGUAAACUGCUUUUGUACAGAACGAAAAAGUCUUUAAUAACACUAGAGGCUCAUGACGGUACUGUAAGAAUAAGCACCGGCUAACUACGUGCCAGCAGCCGCGGUAAUACGUAGGGUGCAAGCGUUAAUCGGAAUUACUGGGCGUAAAGCGUGCGCAGGCGGUUAUAUAAGACAGAUGUGAAAUCCCCGGGCUCAACCUGGGACCUGCAUUUGUGACUGUAUAGCUAGAGUACGGUAGAGGGGGAUGGAAUUCCGCGUGUAGCAGUGAAAUGCGUAGAUAUGCGGAGGAACACCGAUGGCGAAGGCAAUCCCCUGGACCUGUACUGACGCUCAUGCACGAAAGCGUGGGGAGCAAACAGGCUUAGAUACCCUGGUAGUC
rnacentral:rRNA from 1 species